UUUUCAUGGUUCAGAAUGUGUGCCUAUUGCCUUUUUCUUUGAAUGGCAUCAUAACUGGGUAUAAUAUUCUUGGGUAUACUUUCCUUGGGAAUGUUGUAGACACAUUCGCACUUUUCUGUCUUGGACUAUUAUGAGAAGACUGAUCCAACCCACUUGCCCCACCAUCACUUCAAUUAAUUUGCUUUCUUUCUCCAGGAUGCCUGAAGAAUUCUUUCCUAAUCUUUGACAUUGAGUAAUCCUAACCAGAAUCUGAGGAGUGUCCUGAGGUUUUUGGCAGAUUGAGAUGACAUUCUGGAAUUUCUUUGAGUCCGUCCCUGAGCUGUUGGUGUUGUGUUUGUUGUUCAUGCUGGUUGCGCGGCUGUGGUGUUUGUGGCCCAUCACUCCAAAUGGCCAAAGUCUGGAAGACACUGGAAAAUCUGAGAACGAUCCUGGUUGGAGGGUUGAGGGAGGCCUUUCCAAAGAGAUGGCGUGAUGGCAUCUCACUGCGCAGUCCUGUGUGGCCUCGCUGCGGAAGGAGGACAGACUGAAUGCACAGCUUUCAUCUCCGAGCCGGCCAGGCUACAGCUGCCAUCCUCCCAUCGCUCACGAAGGAACAGGUUGCUGCUGCUGCUGACUUGGAGCCAAGGUAGCUGGUAGAAGGGGGCUACAAAACCAGGAGCCGGCGGAGUGAGAAUUGGAAGCAUUUGAGAAAGGGAGUGGAAGAAUGCGGGACCCUUCCCACAGCCCUGCGGAGCCCUGCCAAGCCCUCCAGGCGCGCCAAGCCCUCCACGUAUUGCUGUUACAUGCCAAGUUUUACCAACUGUGACAUUCAUAUUUCUACAUCACAGUUUGACUUUUUCCCCCAAAGGAUGUUUAAGACAAUGAAUUUUUUGAAUUUGCCCAGCAGAUGUUGGAAUGUUGUGACUCAGUGUUCGAGGCUCUUCACUCCAAAACCAAAUGUCCUUUCCCUGUCUGAGAGAUUGGAAAGUUCCUGUCACCUUCCUAUCCACC